GAACUUAAGCAUAUCAAUAAGCGGAGGAAAAGAAACUAACAAGGAUUCCCCUAGUAACUGCGAGUGAAGCGGGAAAAGCUCAAAUUUAAAAUCUGGCGGUCCCUGUGGCCGUCCGAGUUGUAAUUUAGAGAAGCGUUAUCCGCGCUGGACCGUGUACAAGUCUCCUGGAAUGGAGCGUCAUAGAGGGUGAGAAUCCCGUCUUUGACACGGACUGCCAGGGCAUUGUGAUGCGCUCUCGAAGAGUCGAGUUGUUUGGGAAUGCAGCUCAAAAUGGGUGGUAAAUUCCAUCUAAAGCUAAAUAUUGGGGAGAGACCGAUAGCGAACAAGUACCGUGAGGGAAAGAUGAAAAGAACUUUGGAAAGAGAGUUAAACAGUACGUGAAAUUGCUGAAAGGGAAACGCUUGAAGUCAGUCGCGUCGCUCAGGACUCAGCCUUGCUUUUUUGCUUGGUGUACUUCCUGUUCGACGGGUCAGCAUCAAUUUUGGUCGGUGGAUAAAGGCUCAGAGAAUGUGGCAUCUUCGGGUGUGUUAUAGCUCUGGGUCGCAUGCAUCGGCUGGGAUUGAGGAACUCAGCACGCCGCAAGGCCGGGCACUUGUGCCACGUACGUGCUUAGGAUGCUGGCAUAAUGGCUUUAAUCGACCCGUCUUGAAACACGGACCAAGGAGUCUAACAUGCCUGCGAGUGUUUGGGUGGUAAACCCGAGCGCGUAAUGAAAGUGAAAGUUGAGAUCCCUGUCGCGGGGAGCAUCGACGCCCGGAGCAGACCUUCUGUGACGCAUCCGCGGUAGAGCAUGUAUGUUGGGACCCGAAA
rnacentral:rRNA from 1 species